rnacentral:rRNA from 1 species
GACGAACGCUGGCGGCGUGCCUAAUACAUGCAAGUCGAACGCAGUGGGGACGGGUGAGUAACACGUGGGUAACCUCCCAUCAGAGGGGAUAACACUUGGAAACAGGUGCUAAACCGAUAUUGAAGGAUGGACCCGCGGUGCAUUAGCCAGUUGGUGAGGUAACGGCUUACCAAGGCUACGAUGCAUAGCCGGCCUGAGAGGGUGAUCGGCCACACUGGAACUGAGACACGGUCCAGACUCCUACGGGAGGCAGCAGUAGGGAAUCUUCGACAAUGGACGAAAGUCUGACCGAGCAACGACGCGUGAGUGAAGAAGGUUUUCGGAGCGUAAAGCUCUGUUGUUAGGGAGGCGGUAUCUAACCAAAAAGCCACGGCUAACUACGUGCCAGCAGCCGCGGUAAUAC